AAAACAAUUUUCGCAAACGAAUAUCUCGGUUCUCGCUUCGAUGAAAAAGGUACCAAAUGGCAAUAUUUGGUGUGAAUUGCAAAAUCCGGUGAACCAUCAAUUCUUUGAACGAAAGUUGCCCCCGAACCAUUUAGGCCGAGGGCACGUCUGCCUGGGUAUCAGGC
rnacentral:rRNA from 1 species